AAGAGAGACAUAAUGGUUAUGGUAAUGGCUUGAAACCAAUUUUAGAGGGUUCGAGUCCUUCCUUUCUUA
rnacentral:tRNA from 1 species